rnacentral:rRNA from 1 species
AUUGAACGCUGGCGGCAUGCUUUACACAUGCAAGUCGAACGGUAACAGGCCGCAAGGUGCUGACGAGUGGCGAACGGGUGAGUAAUGCAUCGGAACGUGCCCAGUCGUGGGGGAUAACGCAGCGAAAGCUUUGCUAAUACCGCAUACGAUCUACGGAUGAAAGCAGGGGACCGCAAGGCCUUGCGCGGACGGAGCGGCCGAUGGCAGAUUAGGUAGUUGGUGGGAUAAAAGCUUACCAAGCCGACGAUCUGUAGCUGGUCUGAGAGGACGACCAGCCACACUGGGACUGAGACACGGCCCAGACUCCUACGGGAGGCAGCAGUGGGGAAUUUUGGACAAUGGGCGCAAGCCUGAUCCAGCCAUGCCGCGUGCAGGAUGAAGGCCUUCGGGUUGUAAACUGCUUUUGUACGGAACGAAACGGCUCUUUCUAAUAAAGAGGGCUAAUGACGGUACCGUAAGAAUAAGCACCGGCUAACUACGUGCCAGCCGCCGCCGUAAGAC